rnacentral:rRNA from 1 species
AUUGAACGCUGGCGGCAUGCCUUACACAUGCAAGUCGAACGGUAACAGGUCUUCGGAUGCUGACGAGUGGCGAACGGGUGAGUAAUACAUCGGAACGUGCCUAGUAGUGGGGGAUAACUACUCGAAAGAGUGGCUAAUACCGCAUGAGAUCUACGGAUGAAAGCAGGGGAUCGCAAGACCUUGUGCUACUAGAGCGGCCGAUGGCAGAUUAGGUAGUUGGUGGGAUAAAAGCUUACCAAGCCGACGAUCUGUAGCUGGUCUGAGAGGACGAUCAGCCACACUGGGACUGAGACACGGCCCAGACUCCUACGGGAGGCAGCAGUGGGGAAUUUUGGACAAUGGGCGCAAGCCUGAUCCAGCAAUGCCGCGUGCAGGAAGAAGGCCUUCGGGUUGUAAACUGCUUUUGUCAGGGAAGAAAUCCUCUGGGUUAAUACCUCGGGGGGAUGACGGUACCUGAAGAAUAAGCACCGGCUAACUACGUGCCAGCAGCCGCAGUAAAAC